rnacentral:rRNA from 1 species
UACAGAGGUCCCGAGCGUUUGUUCGGAUUCAUUGGGCGUAAAGGGUGCGUAGGCGGCGGGGCAAGUCUGAUGUGAAAUCCUGGGGCUCAACCCUGGAACUGCAUUGGAUACUGCCUUGCUAGAGAACUGGAGAGGAGACUGGAAUUUACGGUGUAGCAGUGAAAUGCGUAGAGAUCGUAAGGAAGACCAGUGGCGAAGGCGGCUUCUUGGGCCGUUUCUGACGCUGAGGCGCGAAAGCCAGGGGAGCGAACGGG